rnacentral:misc_RNA from 1 species
CGAAAUGCGAUAAGUAAUUUGAAUUGCAGAAUUCAGUGAAUCAUCGAAUCUUUGAACGCACCUUGCGCUCCUUGGUAUUCCUUGGAGCAUGCCUGUUUGAGUAUCAUGAAAUCUUCAAAGUAAAUCUUUUGUUAACUCAAUUGGUUUCUACUUUGGUAUUGGAGGUCUUUGCAGCUUCACACCUGCUCCUCUUUGUUCAUUAGCUGGAUCUCAGUGUUAUGCUUGGUUCCACUCGGCGUGAUAAGUUAUCUAUCGCUGAGGACACUGUAAAAGGUGGCCAAGGUAAAUGCAGAUGAACCGCUUCUAAUAGUCCAUUGACUUGGACAAUACUUUUAUGAUCUGAUCUCAAAUCAGGUAGGACUACCCGCUGAACUUAAGC